UGGAGAAUGUUAUGGAAUGGUCCCUGUUUUACCUAGCGCAACGUUACACAUCGACUACGUUUUAGCUACGUUUUAUCGAUGUUUAUAUUUCAGCGUCGUUGUUGAGUUAACAACUCGUUGACUCGUUGCCAUUUUAAGUAUAUAACAAGCCUGGAGUGGUUUGACGACAAACGUCCUUCGAUUCUCCUAAAGAUGAUGAGUAAUAUUGCUAAACAAGUAAGUUAAUAUUUAUUAAUCCUCAUUAAUCUCCUCUAAAAACCCUUUCAGCACACGAUGUUUUCCAUUGGAAUCAAUUGGAGCACCUCCCCACGUGGUGCUUUACGUGGGAGAAUAACGCGUGGUAAUUUAAGGGUUAUGGUUAAAAUCAUAUCUGUGCACGGAAGCUGCGCUUUAAAGAUCUCCACUUUCCAAACGUGGAUCACACGUAAUUCCUAAACGAUUUCAAUGGCGAAUCAUAUCUAAAAUCAAUCAUGCUUGGAUCUACAGCGACGAGGUUACUCACGUGUGCGCGUGUCUGUCGUAGCAGCCGGCGCAUUGGAUGCAGCCGACAAGAACGAACCAACAGUACCCUAUCCUCAGUUGCAUAUUCGCGAUCGAGAUUUCCGUUCUUCGCACUAAA